rnacentral:rRNA from 1 species
UACGGAAGGCAGCAGUGGGGAAUAUUGCACAAUGGGCGCAAGCCUGAUGCAGCCAUGCCGCGUGUAUGAAGAAGGCCUUCGGGUUGUAAAGUACUUUUAGUCGUGAGGAAGGUGUUAAGGUUAAUAACCUUAGCAAUUGACGUUAGCGACAGAAGAAGCACCGGCUAACUCCGUGCCAGCAGCCGCGGUAAUACGGAGGGUGCGAGCGUUAAUCGGAAUUACUGGGCGUAAAGGGCACGCAGGCGGUUAAUUAAGUUGGAUGUGAAAUCCCCGGGCUUAACCUGGGAAUGGCAUUCAAGACUGGUUAGCUAGAGUCUUGUAGAGGGGGGUAGAAUUCCAUGUGUAGCGGUGAAAUGCGUAGAGAUGUGGAGGAAUACCGGUGGCGAAGGCGGCCCCUGGACAAAGACUGACGCUCAUGUGCGAAAGCGUGGGGAGCAAACAGGGAUUAGAUACCCGU